AAUAAAACAAACUCACCUCACAUCACUCAGUAGGCAAAAGCCUCUACCAACUGCCAUGGCGACUGCGACUCUACCUUCAAAUCCGGCCUUCCGGGACGAGAAAACCAUCCAAAAUAUACGUGUAACAGAGGAGGUUGAAGAGAUUCAAGAAUUCUACCAUGGAGAGAUUCCAGUGCUCUACACAAGAUCCCAUGCCAGACAAAAUUACAGAAUUUGAUUUGAAGCUCGUCAACUUGUUUCCGGGAGCGUGUUCAAAGUUUUUAGAUGGAAUUAUCCGAUACGUGCGGGUAGUGCAAAUGGCCAUGAACAUCGUUUUAUAAAUUACUUCGAGCAGCUGCCAAAUGGAUUUGAAUCCAGGAACUUUUGGAAUCCUAGUGAGGUUGCUGUUUUAGCAACGGGCAGGGGUAGCGGUGUCGGUACAAGUUCGUUCAGUAAUGCUGGUGAUAGUCCGAAGGCCGGUUCCCCUAGUAAUGGUGGCAGAUCUGGUCGUAGUAGUCCGAGGGGUUCCCCUAGUAAUGGUGGCAGAUCAGGUCGUGGUAGAGCCGGCCGGUCAGGGUAGAGACGAUUGCUCUAAGAACUGCCAAGAAAGUUUACAUCCAGAGCUUUGGUAAGAUUGAAGAGUGUAAAGUCAUUUCAUGCAAAGAAAAACAAGUGAUAUACUAUGGUGUAAAUCCCAAAGACCGGAAGAGUAUCUCACCAGCAGAAAAAGAAAAACUUCCAAAAACUAGGGAGAAUAUUGUGCUAUGCUCUUUAUGGAACUUACCGGCAGACUUGCUUUGUUGAUGAAGUUCUUGUAGUUGCUGGUUGGGUUUUCUCUGAUUUUGCUUUUAGUCCUUUGUAAGGGCUUGUUCUGUUUUGAGUUGUUUUGUUUUGCUGUUAGCUGGUUUUUGCAGCUUUGUGGUUGAUUUGUUUUGGCUGGUUUAGCCUCUGUGAGGCUGUGUUUCUUGGCCCGUUGGAACGGUUUGUAUUUGGUUUAGUUGUUUGAAUGAAAAUGCUUAUUCAUCAAAAACAAAAACAAACAAACAAACAAAAAAAAACUUCCGGCUCUGCAAACCACCGUAGUAGAUUUCAGUACAUUGUGGCAGUUCCAGGAUGCUCUUGAUGUCAGAUAUUUAUAUUCCAAUAACAUACAUUCUAUGCUAACCACUUAUGGAGUGGAAGCUGCCAGAGAAACCAUCAGGGAAAUACAACACGUUUUCGGCUCUUAUGGUAUUUCUGUCGAUAUGCGCCACCUAACCCUUAUUGCUAACUAUAUGACUCAUUCGUGUAGCUAUCAUCCGAUGAAUAGACUUGGGGGAAUAGCCGAAUCAAUAUCUCAUUUUUGUAAGAUGUCUUUUGAAACAGCUUCAAAAUUCAUUGUUGGAGCAUCAUAUUAUGGGGAGACAGAUGAUUUGGAGACUCCGUCGGCUAGGAUCUGUGUUGGAUUACUGGUGAAGAUGGGUACUGGAUGUGUUGAUUUGAUGCAGAAGUUGAAAAUCUGAUGUAUAGAACUAUCUAUGUUUUAAAUUGUUGCAAAUUUUGGUCGGAAGCACUACAUAACUGUGCAUUGUUUAAGAUUUUCGGAAAGUUGGUUGU